AUGACACCUUCAUCUUCUUCAAUGAUCAAAAACACCAUCGUUCCUUCGAUCUUUACCACACCGGUACAAACUCCUUCAACUCUGUUGCUCAGUUUCUCCAUCGCGGAUUACUCAACUUCUCCUUCUUCAACGAUUCUGUCGCUGUUUAGCCUUGAGGCUCCAUCGAUCACCAUCUUCAUCUCAGACUAUUUUUACUUAUGUCAUUUGUUCAGUUAUGGUACUGAAGUGAAGCGUGAAGAAAGGAAGAUGCACGAAUCUGAGAAAAUUGUUGGAGCUGCAGUGAUGAAGAUCAAAGAUAAUGUCUGA